AAUAGAUACCCCGGUAGUCCACGCCGUAAACGAUGAGUGCUAAGUGUUAGAGGGUUUCCGCCCUUUAGUGCUGCAGCUAACGCAUUAAGCACUCCGCCUGGGGAGUACGGUCGCAAGACUGAAACUCAAAGGAAUUGACGGGGGCCCGCACAAGCGGUGGAGCAUGUGGUUUAAUUCGAAGCAACGCGAAGAACCUUACCAGGUCUUGACAUCCUCUGACAACUCUAGAGAUAGAGCGUUCCCCUUCGGGGGACAGAGUGACAGGUGGUGCAUGGUUGUCGUCAGCUCGUGUCGUGAGAUGUUGGGUUAAGUCCCGCAACGAGCGCAACCCUUGAUCUUAGUUGCCAGCAUUUAGUUGGGCACUCUAAGGUGACUGCCGGUGACAAACCGGAGGAAGGUGGGGAUGACGUCAAAUCAUCAUGCCCCUUAUGACCUGGGCUACACACGUGCUACAAUGGAUGGUACAAAGGGCUGCAAGACCGCGAGGUCAGGCCAAUCCCAUAAAACCAUUCUCAGUUCGGA
rnacentral:rRNA from 1 species